rnacentral:rRNA from 1 species
GCUUGUCUCAAAGAUUAAGCCAUGCAUGUCUAAGUAUAAACGAUUUUAUACGUGAAACUGCGAAUGGCUCAUUAUAUCAGUUAUAGUUUAUUUGAUGGUUCAUACUACUUGGAUAACCGUAGUAAUUCUAGAGCUAAUACAUGCGUCAAAAUCCGACUCCUGGGAGGGUUGUAUUUAUUAGAUGGAAACCAAUGCGGGGCAACCCGGUAUAUGGUGAUUCAUAAUAACUUUCGGAUCGAUCUUCGGAUCGAUGCAUCAUUCAAGUUUCUGCCCUAUCAGCUUUGGAUGGUAGGGUAUUGGCCUACCAUGGCUUUAACGGGUAACGGAGAAUUAGGGUUCGAUUCCGGAGAGGGAGCCUGAGAAAUGGCUACCACAUCCAAGGAAGGCAGCAGG